rnacentral:rRNA from 1 species
CCCUUAGAUGUUCUGGGCCGCACGCGCGCUACACUGAUUCAUGCAACAAGUUUUGUCCUUGGCUGAUAGGCCUGGGUAAUCUUUGAACGUGAAUCGUGAUGGGGAUAGAUGAUUGCAAUUAUUCAUCUUCAACGAGGAAUUCCUAGUAAACGCAAGUCAUCAGCUUGCAUUGAUUACGUCCCUGCCCUUUGUACACAUCGCCCGUCGCACCUACCGAUUGAAUGGUCCGGUGAAAUCUUCGGAUCUGAGAGAUGUCUGAUUAAUUUCGGACGCCUUUUGGAAAAGUUGUUUAAACCUUACCAUUUAGAGGAAGGUGAAGUCGUAACA